GUCAUAUCCUUUGUCGUUGAACUAAUUACUAAUUUUGGACCCUUUGAAUUCAAUUUCAAGCAAAAAGUUUGUUCUUCUGAUGAUACAUUCACCUAAAUAUAUAGUGUCAGAUUGGUAUGUUGACUUUUGUGCUUAACAGAUUCAUCUCCAGUUUAAAAUGUUUGUUUCUUCCUUAAUGAAUCAACAUAUACGUGCCUCAUGCUCCUUCAUGAUUCUCGCAACGAGGACGGCAUCAAGAGCUUCGUUCAGGAGGUGCAUGAGCUUUAUAUAAAGAGUCUUCUGAAUCCCUUGUAUCUGCCGGGUUCACGGAUAACAUCAUCACAUUUUGACACCAAAGUACGUGCACUUGCAAGAAAGUAUCUGUAGAUAGAAAAGACGAGAGAUUUCAGUGCUCAGUUUUCUUGUAUCUCUUUAUACAGUAUGUUCUAGUGCCUGGAUUUAUGUUAUUCCUU